ensembl:lncRNA
GUUUAUGGCUGACCAUGAAUUUGGUGAGAAAACCCUCAAAAUAUUUCUGUGAAUUCUCUUUCCUUUAUUUUUUGCAUAUCAGUCAGUUUUGUUUUCUUUUUUUUUUAACUUGACUUCCAAUUUACAGCUGCAAGAACGGGUGAGUAAAAAACCUUUUUUUCUCCUUAAAUUAAGCUGUUUUAGAUCUUAGCAACAGGGCCCCAAGGUCCUGGCUAGCAAUUGCCUAAAUUAAGACUAGAAAAACCUGGGGAAACUUCUUUGGCCUCCACGUUUUUUACUUUAGAAAUAUGGAGUAACAGACAGUUCAGAAAUUAGUUAACAACUGGAGUUUCAGUAAAUACUUUGUUCUUUUCUUAAUACAAACAUUGGUCUGCAACUUACUUAGCAACUGGCUCAGCAGCCCCAUGACCAAUCUUAUAAAUACAGAAUUCCUUGUCUGUCUGAAAGGGCUCAUCUCAUGGAACUUAUGGCAAAAACUAAUCAACAUACUACUUUCCCUUGAGUUUUUGAUUAUUGUAAUUUUAAUAUUGUAUUUCCUUAAAGAACUCAAUUCUCAGUCAAAUCAACCAAUUUCUUCCCCUGCCCCCUUGGCCUCAGAAAACCCUAAUUCUAAUCAAUCAACUCUAAAUUCAUAUCCCACCCAGGCUUCCAACACAACACAAUCAACUUUAAGUACACACCCUACCUCUGAAUUUUCUGGCACAAUGGGAUUACAACAAACCCCUCCUUUUAAUGUGCCCAACCCUUCUAUGUCUCAGACUUACCCAAUUGAAAAUGGAGCAAGAUGCUUAGAAACAGGAGUACGAAAUAAUUCAGAUAGCUUAUUUCCUUUAAGGGAAGUACCCACUUUUAAUAAAAAUGGAAACUUAAUAUCUGUAAGGCAUCAUACACCUUUUAGCCCUGAGGAUUUAAAAAAAUUGAAGGAAGAAAUGCCAUCAUUUGAGGAUGAACCAACAAUGAUUAUAAAAAAAUUAGAGAACAUAUUCAGAACUUUUGACCCCACUUGGUUGGAUGUUGAGAAUAUAUUAGAUGAAUUAUUAAUAAAGAGAGAGAAAAAUAAUAUCGUCUCUCUGGCUAAUAAAAAACAAGGUAGCAGAGGACAUUAUUGGCCAACUGAAGAUCCACAUUGGAACCCCAAUGUUGAAUUAGCUUACACAAAACUAAACCAGGCAAGAGAAGCAUUAUUGACAGCCAUGAGAGCUUGCUCUGAUAGACCUGAAAAAUGGUCAAAAUUUGAAAAAACCCAACAACAUAUUGAUGAAACACCCUCCCAGUUUAUGGACAGACUUAUUGACAUAGGGAAUAUAUAUAUGGACCUUGAUUUGUCCAGAGAAAGAGACAUUAGACAACUACGUAGACGAUUUGUUAAGAAUUGUUGUUCAGUGGUAAAGGACUACUUUAAAACUAGCUGUCCUAAUUGGGACUCUAUGGACCUCGAUGAACUAAGGAGAGUAGCAACCAAUGUUUAUGAAGGUCGUGUAAAAAGACCUGAGGAAGAUGAUACAUCAGUGGAAGAUUUAAAGAAAGAAAUUGAAAUGUUAAAGAGACAACUGAAAAAUAAGGGAGAGACUAUAGCCCCUUUGAGGGAAUUCACAAAUAAAUCAAUAACUUGCCACUUCUGUGAGAAGAAGGGCCAC